rnacentral:rRNA from 1 species
CCUACGGAGGCUGCAGUGGGGAAUAUUGGACAAUGGGCGAAAGCCUGAUCCAGCCAUGCCGCGUGUGUGAAGAAGGCCUUCGGGUUGUAAAGCACUUUCAGUGGGGAAGAAAGCCUUGGGGCUAAUACCCUCGAGGAAGGACAUCACCCACAGAAGAAGCACCGGCUAACUCCGUGCCAGCAGCCGCGGUAAUACGGAGGGUGCGAGCGUUAAUCGGAAUUACUGGGCGUAAAGCGCGCGUAGGCGGUCUGAUAAGCCGGUUGUGAAAGCCCCGGGCUCAACCUGGGAACGGCAUCCGGAACUGUCAGGCUAGAGUGCAGGAGAGGAAGGUAGAAUUCCCGGUGUAGCGGUGAAAUGCGUAGAGAUCGGGAGGAAUACCAGUGGCGAAGGCGGCCUUCUGGACUGACACUGACGCUGAGGUGCGAAAGCGUGGGUAGCAAACAGGAUUAGAUACCCUGGUAGU